rnacentral:tRNA from 1 species
AGUCUUAUAUUCAAAAAUGAUUUUAAAUUGCAAAUUUAAAGGUAGAAUAAAUCUUAAGGCUU